AUUGAACGCUGGCGGCAUGCUUUACACAUGCAAGUCGAACGGUAACAGGCCGCAAGGUGCUGACGAGUGGCGAACGGGUGAGUAAUGCAUCGGAACGUGCCCAGUCGUGGGGGAUAACUACUCGAAAGAGUAGCUAAUACCGCAUACGAUCUAUGGAUGAAAGCGGGGGCCCGUAAGCCGCUGCCGGUUUGUGGCGGCCGAUGCCGGAUUAGGUAGUUGGUGGGGUAAAGGCUCACCAAGCCAACGAUUUGUAGCUGGUCUGAGAGGACGACCAGCCACACUGGGACUGAGACACGGCCCAGACUCCUACGGGAGGCAGCAGUGGGGAAUUUUGGACAAUGGACGCAAGCCUGAUCCAGCAAUGCCGCGUGCAGGAAGAAGGCCUUCGGGUUGUAAACUGCUUUUGUACGGAACGAAACGGCUCUGGUUAAUACCCGGGGCUAAUGACGGUACCGUAAGAAUAAGCACCGGCUAACUACGUG
rnacentral:rRNA from 1 species